AGUGAACGCUGGCGGUAGGCCUAACACAUGCAAGUCGAACGGCAGCACAGUAAGAGCUUGCUCUUACGGGUGGCGCGUGGCGGACGGGUGAGGAAUACAUCGGAAUCUACUUUUUCGUGGGGGCUAACGUAGGAAAACUUCCGCUAAUACCGCAUACGUCCUACUGGUGAAAGCAGGGGAUCUUUGGACCUUGCGCGUGUGAUUGUGCCGCUGUCGGAGUAGCUAGUUGGGGGGGUAAAGGCGCACCAAGGCGGUGAUGCGUAGCUGGUCUGAGAGCAAGAUCCGCCACACUGGAAGUGAGACACGGUACAGACUCUGGCGGGAGGCAGCAGUGGGGAAUAUUGGACGAAGGGCGAAAGCCUGAUCCAGCCAUACCGCGUGGGUGAAGAAGGCCUUCGGGUUGUAAAGUCAUGUUGGUGGGAAAGAAAAGCAGCUCGUUAAUACGCCGCUGUACUGACGGUACCCAAAGAAUAAGCACCGGCUAACUUCGUG
rnacentral:rRNA from 1 species